UACGUAGGGGGCAAGCGUUGUCCGGAAUUAUUGGGCGUAAAGAGCGCGUAGGCGGUCCGAUAAGUCGGCUGUGAAAGUCAGGGGCUCAACCCUUGGAAGCCGGCCGAUACUGUCGGACUAGAGUCCGGAAGAGGCGAGUGGAAUUCCCGGUGUAGCGGUGAAAUGCAUAGAUAUCGUCAAGAACACCGAUAGCGAAGGCAGCUUACUAGACUGUAACUGACGCUGAGGCACGAAAGUGUGGGGAUCAAACAGG
rnacentral:rRNA from 1 species